AUGGUGGGUGGAUUUAUAGGUCAACACAUUGAAUAUUUUCCAAGUAAAACAGUUGGGUUGGGUAAUUUGAGUAUCAACGGAGAUAGAGAUUUUCAGGUCAAGUUCUUAAAUGGCAUUCAAGGAUUGAUUUGUGGAUGCAUCGAUGCAAGAAGUUUAUGUGAUGUUUUCUCAUUAGAGAAUGCAACUGAACUGAAGCUCAUCAGCAUUUGGAAAUGCCAUAACAUGGAGAAGCUGUUCCCGCUUGUGUUGCUGCCAAACCUCGUAAACCUGGAAAGGAUUGAAGUGAUGUUCUGUGAGAAAAUGGAGGAGAUAAUAGGAACAACAGAUGAAGAAAGCAACACCUCCAAUUCCAUCAAGGAAGUCAUUCUCCCAAAGUUAAGAUUUCUGAAAUUGAUUGGGUUACCAGAACUGAAAAGCAUUUGCAGUGCAAAACUGAUUUGCAAUUCUAUUAAACAUAUUAUUGUAAGGUGGUGUGAGAAGUUGAAGAGGAUACCAAUUUGUCUUCCGUUGCUUGAAAAUGGCCAGCCAUCUCCUCCCCCUUCUCUUGAAAAUAUCUAUUCAAGUCCAGAAGAAUGGUGGGAGACAGUAGUGGAGUGGGAGCAUCCUAAUGCAAAGGAUGUCCUUCGUCCCUUUGUAUGCUACUGAAUUGUCAUAUGUAUGCUACUGAAUUGUCAUAUAUAUAUUUUAUCUCGAUAGAUAAAUAAUUAUAAUUUGAAUUUUGAUUAAUAUUAUAUUUUCAUCCUAUUGAGUUUCUCCAAGAUGAAAAUCCAAAAAAAAAAAGAAACUAUAUUGAUUUAUCAUUAAAGUAACCUAAUAAAAUAAUAAAUCUAUUCACUAUUAUAAAUCAUCAGUGAAAGUAUUCUUCUACACACAUUUUUAAAAUGUCUAAGAGAUAUCACAUUAAAGUAACCUAAUAAAAUAAUAAAUCUAUAUAUAUUUUUAAAAUGUCUAAAAGAGAGUAUGAAUAUGGCAGUUUUGGUUUCUAAACCUGAAACUGCCAUAUUCAUAAACACAUUUUUUAAAUAACUGAAACUUCUAAGACCAAAUUUAAUACUAAAAUUAGAAAGUAGCAUAGGCGUGAUUUUUAAAAUUUUGAUCCCUAUAAUUAUUAUCUUUUUUAUUUUUAAUUUUAAUCUAAAAUAUUUUUAAAUAGUUAAGAUUAAAUAAUUUUUUAACUUAAAACAAUUCAACUUCAAUAAAAUAUCAAAAUAUUAUGAAAUUAAAAUAUUUUAACACUAAUAUUUUAAAUAUAAAGUUAGGUCAAUGUUAUCAAGUCUAAUGAGAUCUAAAACAUCCAUUUAUUUUGCUUAAAUUCCUACAAAGUAUAAACUUGAAAAAAAAUAACAUGAAUAUAAACCAUAUAUAUUAGUGAUAAAUCUAAUUUUAAAAAAUUAAUAUAAUAGUUAAUGAAAAUAGUAAUGAAAAAGAGCUUUUUAUACUUUGAUAGUUUAAUUAAUUAAUUGAACCAGGUUCAAUUUGAUUUAAUGGCUUUUUAAGACCGGAACAGAAUAUAUGGAAUGAAACCGGAACAUUUUGAACGGAAUUUAGCCAAAAAAUCUGGAAGAAACCGAGAUUUAAAAUGAGAUAAAAAUUAUUUUAUUUUAUUUUAUUUUUUAAAUUAGUAUGAAAUCAUUACAAAUAAAACGAAACAAAAUUAACAACUUUCAUUUUAAUAUUGAUUUAAUAAAAAGAACUCCUAAAGCAUGUACGUGGCUGCCAAAAAAGAAAUCCUAAAAUUAACUCAAUUGGAAAAGAUCACGGUAUUUACUACCAAGAUUGUUAUGCUCGCAAUCAAAAUGUAAUUUGUUUUUGUACUCAGAAUUAUGUUUGAUUACAUUUAAAAAUAUAUUUAUUAAAAAAAUAUUAAAUUAAUAUUUUUAAUAUUUUUUUAUAUAUUAAUAUUAAAAAUAAAAAAAUAUUUUGAUUACUGCAUCUCCACCCAACUUAAAUCCAUGCAUUAUGAAGAGGUAAAAAAAAGUAAGGUUUUUUCUUUCUUUUUUUCCUCAAUGGAACACUCAGGACAUUAAAUAGAAUAACUUCAAGAAAAACUAAAAACGAAUAAGAAGCUCACGAAUAGUUAAGAGACGUAUUCACACCUAUUUCAUUGUAAAUUAUAAUAAGUAAUCCAAUGUGUUUUUUUUUCUUUUAUUUUUUAAAAUUUAUUUUUGUUUAUUUCAUACUGGAUGGUUUAAAAUUCAACUUUAUAAUUUAUUUAUUUUUAUUCUAUCUUUUUAUAAAAUUAACGUGAUUUAUACUAGUUUACUGGUUUAAUGAAGUAUUUUUUUUAUUUAUUAAUUAAAAAAAAGCUAAACAGUGUGGGAAAAUCAAUAUUCACCCACACCCAUUCACUCACUGAUCGAAUAUGUUUUUUUUUAUUUUUUAAUUUUUUUAAUUGUUUUUUUUUAAAUUUUGACCUUCAAUAUUAGAUUGGUUUGAAAAUAGACUAUAUGAUUUAUUUAUUUAUUUUAUUUUUAAUAUUAAUACAUUAAAAUUAUAAAAAAACAUUAAAAAAAUCUAUUUAUCUUUUUUGAAAAAAAAACUAAAAACAAAAGCAAUCACCUGCUCUUAAUUAAUCACAUAUUUAAUAUGUCAUUGUUAAAGCACACGUUUUUCAAUAAAAUUGAAUUUUUUUCUUUUUAAAUUUUUUUUUUUUAUCAAAAAUAAAUUUUAAAAAAUAAAAAACAUUUUAAAAAGGAAAGUAUGUUAUUGUUUCCAAUAUUCACGUGUUUACAUUUUCUAGGCAUCUUCUUCCGAGCUCCAUAAUGGGGGUGGUCCACACGUUAACUUCCUAGCAAUAUUUAUACCUUCAUAAUUGGGGUGGUCCACACUAAUCAUUUUUGUAAUGAUUGUAAUUCUUAUUCAAUAAUCGAUUGUAAGAAAAAUCGAAGACUAACAUGAACUCAUAGAAAGAAAUAGCGUUUAUUAAUAUGAAAUAUUUCUUUUUUAUAUAGUGUGCUUACAAUUACAUAAAUAAUAUUUAAAAUAAAAUUUCAUACCUUUAUUUAUUUUUCUCGUGUCAUCUUAGUCUUAUUUGGGGUAAAAAAAUUCAAAUUCAUUCUAUUUUUUUAAUUUUCCUUAUGAUUUUUUAAUUUUUAUUUUAAAGCUUUUUAGGUUUUAUGAACAAUAUAAAAAAAAACUAAAAAGAUUGGUUAGUCCACUAUACAUGAAGACACAUGUUCCUAUGCAUUAUAUUAAGGGUUUGUUUAAUAGUGUGGUAAAAAUUAUAUUGCAAAAUGUUUUUUUGUUUAGAAAUAUAUUAAAAUAAUAUUUUAAAUUUUUUAAUUUUUUUUAAUAUUAUCACAUUAAAAAAAUAGAAAAACACACAAAAAAUAAUUUAAAUUUUAUUUUUUCCAAAAUGGUAAUGAGCAUUUUUCCAAUCUGUUGGGGGUGAUGUUGGUGGGCUUGGUGCUGCCUCAAGUAGCUUUCCAAAGUUUUAACAUUACAGUUUAUAGCUCCAAUUCUUUUGCACAUUACCUUGCUUUCCCUGAGCGUUGGCAUGACAAUACCUAUCAUCUUUUAGAUGAAGGGUGUGUUUAAGAAUAUGAUUAUAGUUUUUUUUAUGAUGUUUUUUAUGUUAAAAUAUAUUAAAAUAAUAUUUUUUUAUUUUAUAAUUUUUUUUAAAUCAGCGUAUCAAAAUAUUAAAAAAAAUUAAUUUUUAGUAAAAAAAAUUAAUUUUUUAAAAACACGAAUACAACCUCGUUUCCAAACACUCUAAAAAACUAACACUCUUUCCUCGCAACAGGAGACCUGCUGGGCAUCAGACCGUCAAAAUCCCAUGCAUUUUUUUGCUGUUCUUCAUGAAGUUCUAUUGUCGGUCCUGCUUUGCCAGCAUCAGUCUCCUUCACUAGCCACAUGCAGAUCUUUGCUUUUUAUUUCAUCUGUUUAAAUUUUUUUUUGAAAAAGAAGAAGAUUUAUAAGCACUUAUAUUAAUUAUUGUACAUGUAAUAUUUUCACAGAAAAGAAUAUUGUAAUGUUAAAUACGUACACGGCGUCUCUCUGUUUUUUUUUUUUUAAAGCAUUUUUGUUUUUAAUUUCAUUAUAAUAAUUUAUUUCAAAAAGCUUAUUAUGAAGCUCUCACAGUUUAAGAAAAAACAUUUCAAUGUAGAGUUGAAGCUCUCACAGACAAGUCAAGGCCCAGAGUCGUGAAAUUCACUUUGAACCAGCCUUAAAAACGUGUGGGACAUUUGAAAAGAGUGGGGCUGCCUAAUUUGAAAAGAGGGGCAUUUGGCGUAAAGGAGACGUGUGGGCAUUUUUUUUUCAUUUGAUGUUUUUUUUGGUUACUUUUGUAUGCUUUCCUCUGUUCCUAAUAUCCACCUCAGCAUGUAGCAUCCCUCUGUUAUGAACACCAUGGGUAUAUUGGUAAAAUAGAAAAACAUUCACUAUAAUUUGUCUCACAAAAGUUUCAUGGUUAAGUAAAAUCACUCUGCUCUAAUAUACACACUCAAAGGCAGAAGCAUAAGAACUGCAACUUAAACCCACACAUAAACUCUGUUUGUUUUUAUAUUUUUAAAAUGUUUUUAAAAGAAUUUAAAUGUCAUAACUUGUUUAUUUUUACAGUUACAAUGUAUUUUUUAAAAAUAUAUUUUUAAUAUUUUUUUAAUUAUUUUGAUAUUAUGAUAUAAAAUAUAAAAAAUUUAAAAAUAUUAUUUUAAUAUAUUUCUAAAUAAAAAAUAAUUUUUUGAAAAUUUUACAGCAUGCAUAAAUAUUCUAUUCUUUUGUGAAAAUUUCAUGUGUUUAUAUUUUCUUGGCAGCUUCUUCGAAGUUUCAACAUUGGGGGGUCCACACGUCAACUUUUUAUAUCUUAUAAUAUAAUAUUUGUGUUUCGCAUGGAGUUUUUAUUAAAAUAUAAAUUAUAUUUUUUAAAAUUAAAAAUAUAUAUUUGAUAUAAAAAAAAACCAAAAUAAUCUCCAAACCAAACACUCUGAUGUUUGGUAGGUGAGCGGUGGGUUGCUUCCUGAAAACUUCCUUCCAAUCAAGCAAUACGUUAAUUAAUUAUUAUUUGAGCUGAUUAUUUUAUUUUUAAUUUUAUAUUCAUGGGAAUUUGAGGUUAAUAAUUUAUUUUAAUUAAUUAUAAAGUUCUCAAGGUAAAAAAAAAAAAAAAAAGCUUCAACGAUUAAUUUAAGUUGGUAUUUGAUUUGAUACCAUUUUAUUCAAUUUAAUUCAUUAAAAAUAAUUGAAACUUUGAACACCAAAUAUGAUACUGAAAUCAAAAAGUAGCCUGGUGUGUUUUUCAAAAUUCUGUUCCCUAGAGUUUUUGCAUUUUGCAUUUUAAUUUUGAUUUUUAAUUUUAAUUCAAAAUUUUAUUUUAUUAAUUUUUUAAUUUAUGAAUUUGAGAUAAAAAAAUUCACUAAAAACCUCGGAAAAAAUGGAAAAUUAUUGGCCGACAAUUUUGGCAACAAAAAAAACACGAUAAUCCUUGUAUUAAUGGAAAACUAGUGUGCAGAUUGGAUAGCAAAUCAUACUUUAUAGGUCGAGGGCUAAAAAUAUAAAUUUCCAUUGGUGUAGAAAAGUUCAGGUAUACUAUCAUAAAAUAAGAUAAUGGUUGAUGGUGGGAUAAUAAUUGUUUUUAAAUUAUAUUUUUAUUUGAAAAUAUAUUAAAAUAAUAAUUUUUUAUUUUUUAAAAUUUAUUUUUAAUAUUAAAAUAUCAAAAUAAUCUAAAAAUAUAAAAAAAAUUUAAUUUAAAAUAACAAAAAUAUCAAGUUUUUUAAAAAACAUGAUUCAACUGUGAAAUUAUUAUUAUUUUUGUCGGGGUGUUGGUUGUCUAGGUAGGGCCAGAAAGGUCAUGGGAUGGAGAGUUGCUGAUAAUCUCAUUAACCAUGACAUGGCUCAAAUGUGGGAGACUAAUUAAAAGUCUGUAAAGUUGUAUAAAUGUUUGUAAUUAAUAUUUUUGAAUUGUUUUUAUGUGGUAAUAUAAAAAAAAAAUUAAAAAAUUAUUUUAAUAUAUUUUUAAAUAAAAAAUGAUUUUUUUAAAAAAACUUCACACAAUACAAAAAUAUGCUAUUCUUUUUUAUAUUCAUGUGUUUACAUUUUCUUGGCAGCUUCUUCAAAGUGUCAACAUGGAGGCGGGUCCACACGUUAACUUUCUGUACCUUACUAAUAAAUAAUAUUAUGUAAAAGAGAUAGCGGCUGUAACGUUCUCUUCCACAUCUCAUCUCAUUAUUUUCCUUUCCUUUAUUAUUUUUCUAAACCAUAUAUUCUUCUCUGACCUGUGAUUUCUCUUCCUUUUCUUUUGGCUGACCACUGCUCAAGCAAACCAGCUAGCACUUGAAGAACAUCUUGAAUCCAGGUAAAUUAUUUGUCAUUCAUCUUGUCUGAAUCUUUAAAGUAAUCCAUGAUAAAUAGAUAGAUCUUUUUCUCAGAUUUUAUAAUCCAUGCCAUGUGGUGUUCAUACUGAUUAAAUUAACCCUAAACGUUGAAUUCAUUGUUUUCGUCUUUUCAAGAUUGUUUGCUGUUUUUAACUCCUUAUUUUAGAUUCACCCUUUUCUUUUCCAAUUAAUGGGACUGCCAUUUAUUUUUAUUCAAUAUUUUUCCACUUUCUUUUUCUUACAAUGAUUCAAUGUACUAUCUUGAUCGGUAAUUACCUUUCAUUAAACAAAAUAAGAAUAUUUAAAAUAUCAAAUGUGUUCAAGGGAUUCCGACUAUCUAUCUGCUGUUUGUAGAAUUUAAGCACUUUUUUCAUUAGUCACUUUUAUAAACUCAUUUAAUAUUUGCCUUUAUUCUUUUUAUUUGCUUCAAUGUGGAAUCGACACUCCAGAGAAUGUGAGAUUUUUUUUUUCUUUGCUAUGUGCUUUCUGUUCUUUUUUCACCUCAGUAUGUACUAAUCAUCUUGUACUUGUGGUCAGACGGAAAGGUUCCUCCCAUCUUCUAUGGAUGACUUGGCAGAGUUCGAUACUGAAUCACUACUUCUCUCGUAAGUCAUUCUUAAGCAUAUUUUAUCAAAAGAUGAUUGCUUGCAGUUUAGUUAUUCUUCAGUUUAUCCUAUAUAUUAUUCCAUGGAAGCAGGACGGCACCGGAGGUUCCAGUCAACCAAGGCUCCAUAUCAUGCAAUGAUCAAGGUGGACAGAACAAUGUGAUCAACGAUAGUAUUCAACAAACAACUCAGUUUCCACCUUCAUUUCCUGAUCAAACCAUGGUGAGUACUCAUGCUUCCUCCAAUUUGCUACCAUGUCCAUUGAAUUAAGCAUCAUAAUUCCUUUAUUCAUCAACCUCAGACGGGACAUGGCAAUAUGACACCGAACGCAACCACAUCACAACAUGGUGAAGUCAAUCAACCUGGACCUUCUUCUCCUGCUCCCUGGUAUCCAAUUUUUCAUGUUUAGUAUUUUCUGAAAAAAAAAAAAGUUUUUCAAUCAUUAUUUAACUUCUUCUUCUUCCUCUUGUUGUUGUACUUAUCAGUGAAUUCAUUAUGUUUGAAUAUAGGUAUCAGCCUUAUCCCAAUUUAUUUGAUCCUCAAUGUGCCAAUCCCAUGUUACCCGCACCAUCAAUGCCUUUGAGGUAAGCUAAAAUGAUAUCAAAUGCUUAGUGGAUUGAUAGCUAACAAUUAUGCAUAUGUAUAAAGAAAUCACUAACAAAUGUUGCUAAUUUAGGGACCAACAAUGGACUGAUUAUCAGUUACCAAUGAGCAAUCAAGUGCCUGCGAUGUCACCUGGACCUCAACCUCCAAUGAAUCAAUGGUAUUAACCUCGAAUAUACACUUUUUUAAUCAUGAAAACAAUGAACUUGACCAAAAUUGACGAGGAUCUUUCAAGUCUUUUUGAGCUCUCUAUCUCUCUUUUUUGUGAGAAUAACAGUUCUAUGUUUAACUAUUUGAAUAUUAUUCAGGCAUCAGAACUCCUUUAUUCAUCAACCUCAGUCGGGACAUGGCUAUUUGACACAGAACGCAACCACUUCACAACAUGGACCUUCUUCUCCUGCUCCAUGGUAUCCAAUUUUUCAUUUUUAGUAUUUUCAGUAAUAAAAACAAUUAGUUUUCCUACAUAGUAUUAAUACCUUUUUGAUAAUUAGAUACACCAUUGAUUUUUAGUGCUUAAGAGAGACUACCAAUUAUCGAAAGGUUUUAUAAUAUGAUCAUUUCAUUUAUAUAUAGGUCACAGAUGGAUAACCUCCAAGUCCGAGGAUUGCAAAAUCAAACUGCUACGCCAAAUGCCUCAAAUCCUGGCCCUGACACUUCCUUGCAAAGUCAAAAUAGGGGUUUAAAUUCUCAACAAGUAAGAAGUCUAACUGAAUUAUUGUCGUCUUUUUUCCCCCUAUGAUUAUGCUAUAAACUAACUAUCGAUUUUAAUAGCAAAAUAGGGGUAACAGCACUGAAGUAGUUUCUCAUCCAUCCAGAUAUGAUUUUUAUUCUUUAUUUUGACUGAUUUUGACCUCCCCUUUUUUUCCGUAGGUCGAAAUGGUUGGAUCAAAUGAUCCGUUUUGGAAUUAUGUUGAAUAUAGGGCUGAUGGUAGGAUGAAGUGUAAGUUUUGUCCACAUACAUAUGCCAAGGAUACUUCCAUUUCGAGGAUCAAAUGGCAUUUAUCAAGAGAGAGAGGGCAUAAUGUUGCCAUUUGUCCUGGGGUGACUACAGAAGUUCAAGAAAAAGCCUUUCUAGCUAUCUGUGGCGGGAACAAAAGACAGAAAAGCACAGCAAGUUCAGUCAAUGUUAAUGAGUGUGGAAUUUCAACUUGUCCACAAGAACAAAACAUUGAGAUUGAAAAUACGGCAGGAGGGAUUGGAAGGGUACAAAGAGAAGUUCAGGUUGUAGAACCCGGAGUAGGAGAAGAGAGGAUUACUUCACAUGCAAUAGCAGGAAACGACGUAGUAAGCAUGACCGGAAUGAGAGCACAAGAAGAUAGAGUUUCCGAAGGGGCACUCGAGAGCAGACAGAGGACAGAACCAGUGGAGGAGGAUGUGGAGAAUAGUCGAAGAUCAGUGCAGGUUGGUGCUGGAGCUAGAUCUUCUGAAAGUCUGGAAUACAACAAGACUAUAGGAAUUCCAUUACCUCCUAGCUCUACAAAGCUAGUGGGUCAAGCAUUCAAAGAGAAUACGAAGGUGAUAUGGUCUUUGUUAAUGGAUGAGGAUGUCUUAAGUAUGGGUAUUUAUGGGAUGGGGGGAGUUGGUAAAUCCACAAUACUGCGACAUAUCCAUAAUGAGCUUCUACAAAAACCAGAUAUUUGUGAUCAUGUUUGGUGGGUGACCGUGUCUCAAGAUUUCAGCAUUAAUAAAUUGCAGAAUCUUAUUGCUGAACGUCUUCAUCUAGACCUUUCAAGAGAAGAUGAUGAACUGCAUAGAGCUGCCAAAUUGUCAGAAGAACUAACGAAGAAACAAAAAUGGAUUCUCAUUUUAGAUGAUUUGUGGAACAAUUUUGAGCUACACGAAGUGGGAAUUCCUGAAAAGUUUGAAGGAUGCAAGCUGAUUAUGACAACUCGAUCAGAAAUGAUUUGUCAUCGGAUGGCUUGCCAGCACAAAAUCAAAGUGAAGCCACUUUCUAAUGGAGAAGCUUGGUUUUUGUUCAUGGAGAAACUUGGACGUUAUGUAGAACUUUCACCAGAAGUGGAAGGAAUUGCGGAAGCUGUUGCAAGGGAAUGUGCUGGUUUGCCAUUGGGAAUUAUUACAGUGGCAGGAAGCUUGAGGGGAGUAGAUGAUCUACAUGAAUGGAGAAAUACAUUGAACAAAUUGAGAGAAUCAGAAUUUAGGGACAUGGAUGAGAAGGUAUUCAAGCUAUUGAGGUUUAGUUAUGAUCGGUUAGGUGAUUUAGCACUACAACAAUGUCUCUUGUACUGUGCAUUAUUUCCUGAAGAUCAUGGGAUUCCGAGGGAGAUGUUGAUAGGUUAUUUGAUCGAUGAGGGGAUAAUUAAAGUAAAGAGGAGCAGGAAAGAUGCAAUUGACGAGGGCCACACGAUGCUUAAUAGACUUGAAAAUGUCUGCCUAUUGGAAAGUGCUAAAAUGUAUUAUGAUGAUAGUAGAAUUGUCAAGAUGCAUGACUUGAUUAGGGACAUGGCCAUCCAAAUACUGCAAGACAACUCUCAAGUCAUGGUUAAAGCAGGUGCACAAUUAAAAGAGUUGCCAGAUGCAGAGGAAUGGACGGAGAAUCUGACGAUAGUCUCACUAAUGCAAAACGAGAUCGAAGAAAUUCCUUCCAGCCAUUCACCAAUGUGUCCAAAUCUGUCCACUCUAUUUCUAUGUGAUAAUAAAGGGUUGAGAUAUGUUGCGGAUUCAUUUUUCAAGCAAUUGCAUGGGCUCAUGGUCCUCGAUCUGUCUCGCACAGGUAUUGAAAAUUUGCCAGACUCUGUCUCUGAUUUGUUGAGUCUCACUGCAUUCUUGCUCAAUGAUUGUCGGGAGUUAAGACUUGUUCCAUCAUUAAAGAAGCUCAGGGCAUUGAAGAGGUUGGAUCUCUCUUGGACUAUGCUUGGAAAGAUGCCGCAAGGAAUGGAAUGCCUAACCAACCUGAGGUAUCUUAGAAUGAAUGGAUGUGGUCAAAAGGAGUUUCCUAGUGGGAUAUUACCAAAACUCUCUCACCUGCAAGUCUUUGAACUAGAACGGUUUCCGGUGCUUCCAAUAACAGUUAAAGGAAAGGAAGUAGGAUCCUUGAGAGUCUUUGAACUAGAACGGUUUACGGCGCUUCCAAUAACAGUUAAAGGAAAGGAAGUAGGAUCCUUGAGAAAUUUGGAAAGUUUGGAAUGCCAUUUUGAAGGUUUCUCUGACUUCGUGGAUUAUCUCAGAUCUCGGGAUGGGAUCCUAUCAUUAAGCACAUACAAAAUUUUAGUAGGAGAGGUGUUUAGCUAUUCAGAGCAAUGCAUUGAAGAUUUUCCAAGUAAAACAGUUGGGUUGGGUAAUUUGAGUAUCAAUGGAGAUAGAGAUUUUCAGGUCAAGUUCUUAAAUGGCAUUCAUGGACUGGUUUGUCAAUGCAUCGAUGCAAGAAGUUUAUGUGAUGUUUUGUCAUUAGAGAAUGCAACUGAACUGGAGCGCAUCAGCAUUCGGGAAUGCCAUAACAUGGAGAGCUUGGUUUCAUCUUCUUGGUUCUGCUCUGCUCCACCACGAUUGCCACCAUAUAAUGGUAUGUUUUCUGGUCUUAAAGUGUUUUUUUGUUAUAGCUGUAAAAGUAUGAAGAAGCUGUUCCCACUUGUGCUGCUGCCAAACCUCGUAAACCUGGAAAGGAUUUAAGUGAAGCACUGGUGGAUUACUCGUGUUGGGAAAACAUUGAUGAUUUUCCAAGUAAAACAGUUGGGUUGGGUAAUUUGAGUAUCAACGGAGAUGGAGAUUUUCAGGUCAAGUUCUUAAAUGGCAUUCAAGGAUUGGUUUGUGAAUUCAUCGAUGCAAGAAGUUUAUGUGAUGUUUUGUCAUUAGAGAAUGCAACUGAACUUGAGUUCAUCGACAUUAGGCGUUGCCAUAACAUGGAGAGCUUGGUUUCAUCUUCUUGGUUCUGCUAUGCUCCACCACGAUUGCCAUCAUAUAAUGGUGCGUUUUCUGGUCUUAAAGUGUUUUGUUGUGAUGGAUGUAACAAUAUGAAGAAGCUGUUCCCACUUGUGCUGCUGCCAAACUUCGUAAACCUGGAAAGGAUUGUUGUUACUGAAUGUGAGAAAAUGGAGGAGAUAAUAGGAACAACAGAUGAAGAAAGCAGCACCUCCAAUUCCAUCACGGAAGUCAUUCUCCCAAAGUUAAG
rnacentral:lncRNA from 1 species